rnacentral:snoRNA from 1 species
AGACCCUGAUGAGGACACUUUCUUAGUAGCUCUUUAAACCUUCCCAAGUUUCAUAUAAGGAUUCCUCAUCCUGUUGUGAAUAUGUAUUAAUUUCAGUCAUUAAUUU